UACGAAGGGGGCUAGCGUUGUUCGGAUUUACUGGGCGUAAAGCGCACGUAGGCGGAUCGUUAAGUCGGGGGUGAAAUCCUGGAGCUCAACUCCAGAACUGCCUUCGAUACUGGCGAUCUUGAGUCCGGAAGAGGUGAGUGGAACUCCUAGUGUAGAGGUGGAGUUCGUAGAUAUUAGGAAGAACACCAGUGGCGAAGGCGGCUCACUGGUCCGGUACUGACGCUGAGG
rnacentral:rRNA from 1 species